rnacentral:rRNA from 1 species
UGACAAGAAAUAACAAUACAGGGCUCUUCGAGUCAUGUAAUUGGAAUGAGUACAAUUUACAUCUCUUCACGAGGAUCAAUUGGAGGGCAAGUCUGGUGCCAGCAGCCGCGGUAAUUCCAACUCCAAUAGCGUAUAUUAAAGUUGUUGCAGUUAAAACGCUCGUAGUCGGAUUUCGGGGCGGGCCCGCCGGUCUGCCGAUGGGUAUGCACUGGCGGGCGCGCCCUUCCUCCCGGAGACGGCGCCGGAGACGGGAUAUUUACUUUGAAAAAAUCAGAGUGUUUCAAGCAGGCAGUCGCUCUUGCAUGGAUUAGCAUGGGAUAAUGAAAUAGGACUCUGGUGCUAUUUUGUUGGUUUCGAGCACCGGAGUAAUGAUUAACAGG